CAUCGCCUCUUGACUAAAUAUAAGAGGGGCAGCCUGCCCAGUGACAUAGUUUAACGGCCGCGGUACCCUAACCGUGCGAAGGUAGCAUAAUCACUUGUUCUUUAAAUAAGGACUUGUAUCAACGGCAUCACGAGGGCUGUACUGUCUCCUUUCUCCAAUCAGUGAAACUGAUCUCCCCGUGAAGAAGCGAGGAUGAACCUAUAAGACGAGAAGACCCCAUGGAGCUUUAAACCCAUCACACACCUCUACGCACUUAAAUCAACAUAGCCCAAGAGACUUGUGUGCUGGUUUUAGGUUGGGGGGACCGCGGAGUAAAAUCAAACCUCCACGACAAACGGGCUAACACCCUUAUCUACGAACCACAAUUCUAAGAACCAAUAAAUUGUUGUCUAAUGACCCAAUUACUUGAUCAACGAACCAAGUUACCCUGGGGAUAACAGCGCAAUCUACUUCAAGAGCCCCUAUCGACAAGUAGGUUUACGACCUCGAUGUUGGAUCAGGGUAUCCUAGUGGUGCAG
rnacentral:rRNA from 1 species